AGAGUUUGAUCCUGGCUCAGGAUGAACGCUAGCGACAGGCUUAACACAUGCAAGUCGAGGGGCAGCCCGGGAGUAGCAAUACAACUGGUGGCGACCGGCGCACGGGUGAGUAACGCGUAUGCAACCUACCUAUCAGAGGGGAAUAACUCGGCGAAAGUCGGACUAAUACCGCAUAAAACAGGGGCACCGCAUGGUGAUAUUUGUUAAAGAAAUUCGCUGAUAGAUGGGCAUGCGUUCCAUUAGGUAGUUGGUGAGGUAACGGCUCACCAAGCCGACGAUGGAUAGGGGAACUGAGAGGUUGGUCCCCCACACUGGUACUGAGACACGGACCAGACUCCUACGGGAGGCAGCAGUGAGGAAUAUUGGUCAAUGGGCGGGAGCCUGAACCAGCCAAGUCGCGUGAAGGAAGAAGGAUCUAUGGUUCGUAAACUUCUUUUGCAGGGGAAUAAAGUGCAGGACGUGUCCUGUUUUGUAUGUACCCUGAGAAUAAGGAUCGGCUAACUCCGUGCCAGCAGCCGCGGUAAUACGGAGGAUCCGAGCGUUAUCCGGAUUUAUUGGGUUUAAAGGGUGCGUAGGUGGUUUGAUAAGUCAGCGGUGAAAGUUUGCAGCUUAACUGUAAAAAUGCCGUUGAAACUGUCGGACUUGAGUGUAAAUGAGGUAGGCGGAAUGCGUGGUGUAGCGGUGAAAUGCAUAGAUAUCACGCAGAACUCCGAUUGCGAAGGCAGCUUACUAAGCUACAACUGACACUGAAGCACGAAAGCGUGGGGAUCAAACAGGAUUAGAUACCCCGGUAGU
rnacentral:rRNA from 1 species